ACCUGGGUAGCUCAGUCGGUUGAGUGUCUGACUUCAGCUCAGGUCAUGAUCUCACCGUUUGUGGGUUUGAGCCCUGCAUCAGGCU
rfam:Felis catus isolate Cinnamon breed Abyssinian chromosome A1, whole genome shotgun sequence.